rnacentral:rRNA from 1 species
UACGGAGGGGGCUAGCGUUGUUCGGAAUUACUGGGCGUAAAGGGCGCGUAGGCGGCGAUUCAAGUCAGGCGUGAAAGGCCUGGGCUCAACCCGGGAACUGCGUUUGAUACUGGAUUGCUGGAGUCCGGGAGAGGAUGGCGGAAUUCCCAGUGUAGAGGUGAAAUUCGUAGAUAUUGGGAAGAACACCGGUGGCGAAGGCGGCCAUCUGGACCGGAACUGACGCUGAGGCGCGAAAGCGUGGGGAGCAAACGGG